rnacentral:tmRNA from 1 species
GGGGGCGUUAUUAGAAUCGCUCGGGGGAGCAAUGGCAAUAGCCGCGUGCCGAGAUUCCCGUCAGAUCCUCGUUAAAAAGGACGGAAUCAGUUAAUAACUGGCAAAAACGAUUACGCUUUAGCAGCCUAAGUGCUGCUACAUCCUGCCUUCUGUGCCUGCGGUGAAGGGUCAGGGUGUCAUAUGAGCAGGCUGCUCGAAUCGGCCACCGUCUGAGGCUGACAGAGGAGAUUAACCAGACUGGCAUCCGAGGAAUCGUGCUUUCAGGAGUCCGAGGAAGCGAGAACAAAAAUGAGAGCUACGCACGUAGAAGUUGUUGUAGUUGCCUUUCGAUACAGGGGUGCAAUUCCCCUCGCCUCCACCA